GUGGUGUUUGGAUCGUCCCUGCCGGCUGGCUCCGUGCCCGUCCACCGAACGGUCGGCGGGCGAUCCGCUUCGGUCGCGCUGGGUGGUAUGGUUCCCCAGAGGCCGGUUCUUGUGCUGCCUACCCCUUCAGGGGAAGCGGGCCGCUUGAUGCAAGCCUCCAUCCCGCGCCCUCCAACGGGCGCAGGAGGACAACGGAGCACCCCCCGCGUUCCACCGAGCCUCCUCGGUCGCGUGGCGCGUGGGGACGUGCGAUGCUCUCGGACCCAGCGAACGCCGUGGGCGAGGACUCACGUCCCAGUCCCGAUAGAAGCUCCCACAUAAUGCUGACGGCCGCUCCCGUCCCCCGACCGCCCCGGCGGCGCGGGGGCGAGGCGCGGCGUCGCGGAGGAAUGCUACCU
rnacentral:misc_RNA from 1 species